rnacentral:rRNA from 1 species
GUGGCGAACGGGUGAGUAACACGUGAGCAAUCUGCCUUUGACUCUGGGAUAACUGCGGGAAACUGUAGCUAAUACCGGAUACUUUCCUCGCUGGGCAUCCAGCGGGGAAGAAAGAAUUUCGGUCAAGGAUGAGCUCGCGGCCUAUCAGCUAGUUGGUGAGGUAAUGGCUCACCAAGGCGACGACGGGUAGCCGGCCUGAGAGGGUGACCGGCCACACUGGAACUGAGACACGGUCCAGACUCCUACGGGAGGCAGCAGUGGGGAAUAUUGCACAAUGGGCGAAGGCCUGAUGCAGCAACGCCGCGUGAGGGAUGAAGGCCUUCGGGUUGUAAACCUCUUUUAGCAGGGAAGAAGCGAAAGUGACGGUACCUGCAGAAAAAGCACCGGCUAACUACGUGCCAGCAGCCGCGGUAAUACGUAGGGUGCAAGCGUUGUCCGGAAUUAUUGGGCGUAAAGAGCUCGUAGGCGGUUUGUCACGUCUGCUGUGAAAAUCCGAGGCUCAACCUCGGACUUGCAGUGGGUACGGGCAGGCUAGAGUGCGGUAGGGGAGAAGGGAAUUCCUGGUGUAGCGGUGGAAUGCGCAGAUAUCAGGAGGAACACCAAUGGCGAAGGCACUUCUCUGGGCCGUAACUGACGCUGAGGAGCGAAAGCGUGGGGAGCGAACAGGAUUAGAUACCCUGGUAGUCCAC